CCAUAUGCUUGUCUCAAAGAUUAAGCCAUGCAGGUCUGAGUACGGCCUCCAGCGAACAGGCGAAACCGCGAAUGGCUCAUUAAAUCAGUUACGGUUCCUUGGUGAUGACUGCGCGUUACUGGAUAACCGUGGUAAUUCUAGAGCUAAUACAUGCGACGGAGCUCCGAAGCCCCGCCGGCAACGGCGGGUGCGACGAGCGCUUUUAUUAGACCGCAACGGAUCGCGCGCGGCCGCCGGCGAGGGAGUUCUUCCCCCGUCGCGCCGCGUUGCGAGGUGACUCUGGAUAAACCUGGCAGAUCGGCCGGUGGCCCCUGGCGGGGCCGCACACACGCCGGCCGACGCAACCUUCAAGUGUCUGACUUAUCAACUGUCGACGGCACGUUAAACGCUUGCCGUGGUCGUAACGGGUGACGGGGAAUCAGGGUUCGAUUCCGGAGAGGAAGCCUGAGAAACGGCUACCACAUCCAAGGAAGGCAGCAGGCUCGCAAAUUACCCACUCCCGGCACGGGGAGGUAGUGACGAAAAAUAACGAUGCGGGACUCGGUCGAGACCCCGCCAUCGGAAUGAGCGGACCGUAGACAGUUCGCGCGAGGAACGACCGGAGGGCAAGUCUGGUGCCAGCCGCUGCGGUAAUUCCAGCUCCGGUAGCAUGGCGCCUCCAGCGUGCCUCGGUUCGCCCGGCCCGAGAGGGUCGGGGAAUCGCUGAACGGACGUCGUGCUGGGGACUGGGGAUUGGAACUGUUCCCCUCGAACGAGGAAUACCAAGUAAGCGCGAGUCACCAUCUCGCUUUGAUUACGUCCCUGCCCUUUGUACACACCGCCCGUCGCUACUACCGAUUGAACGUCGAGGUGAGGCCGUCGGACCGGAACUUCGCCGCGCCCGCCCGUCGGUCGCGUCAACGCGCGGCCCGGCGGUGUCGCGGCCGGUGCGGAUUCGGAAAGUCGGUCGAACCCUGGCGUUUAGAGGAAGUAAAAGUCGUAACAAGGUAUCC
rnacentral:rRNA from 1 species